AGGGAAGGGUGCACCCACAGGCUCAGUCUUGAGACCUCUCUCCAGGCUCCUGGGGGGAUUGGGGAAGCUGAGCCUCCUUGCCUGCUCACAGCACACAUCCCCCACAAAUCUUGUUCUAUUCCAGAGUGGGAGAGGAACGUGAAAUCUGAUGAUCCCCGACGGCCAAGGCUGCCUUAUCAAGAUCCUGUUCACGAUUCAGCAAGAAAAGAUGCCUCCUGUGCCAGCAGCAGAGAAGGCUGCAGCCCUGGGCGUUCCCGGGAGAGUGAACAAUGGAAGCGCCCAGGAUGCCUCUAUGGGAGGUCACUCUACGGAAACAUCUAGAACUGGAGGCAAAACAUUUCAGCUUGUUCACCGUCAUACCACCCAUGGCUGGCCCAGAGGAGGCACUCAGCAAAUGAACAAGCCAAGCUGAAUGAAGAAGUGAACGUUCUGAAGACAGGAAGCUUACUGAAGCCUGGUUCGUCUUUACAUUCCCAGAGUCUAACAUCACACUUGGCACUAAUGGGGCACUUGAUAGAUGUUUAUUUUUGCAUGAAUGGCAUGUAAAUUAAUUACCUAAUCAAAUCAUCUGGAAGACAGGCAGUAAGAUUCAGAUGUAAAUACUACUGAUGAUUGCAUGCUUCUGCUCUGCAAGACUGGCUUCUUGUGACAUACUGAGAAUCGGUCACUGUGAAUCUGGGGAGUGUCCUUGUUUUGUGCUCUUCCCCCGAGGAGGGAUGGAUCCUUCCGUUAGUUCAAAAGUGGGCCUAUUCCUAACUGCCAGGCAUCCAGGAUGCCUUCUUUGCCCAUCUGUCUUUCUGAAGAGCUAGUUAAAGGGCUAAUCUGCUCUUAAUUCCUUUAGUGUGGUCUUCGAAUGAAAUGGUUUGAGUGGGUUUAGUCUCCAGAUAAACAGGGGCAGAAUAAGACUGUCUGGGACUGGCUUCAGCUCCGGGAUCAGCUCGCUUUGUAUCGCAUGACUUAGGGCAUGGAUCUCAGCAGGACAUCUGGGAUGUCUCUCAAUGACGAGAUCACACGGGGUGUUUUCGUACCUGGCCUAGUUGUAAUUCUUUGCGUAGCUUCAGGAUAUACUGAAGUAUUUGGGAAAAUAAAAGCUGCACCCCCUGCAGACAAAAGGAAAGACAAACAUGUGAAGGUCUUUUGUUGUGGUUGUCGAUCUCAACAUCAGUGCCAAAUCUACUUUUCCCUGUGAUAACAAAGGGAAGAGACCUCCUCAAACCUGCCUUAACAGAGCUCCGGAGAAAUGGACAGGUGCACGUGUCAGAUUCUCAAGGAGCCUUGGUGCACUCCUGUGCCCCAUUUGCUAUAAAGUGUUGUGUGUUUUGAUUUUAUAGCUUCUUGAUGAAGCCCUAUCUGUGUCCCCCUCAAUCCCACUUCCCACUGGGCAAUCUCAUUUUAUUAAAAAACUAUAUGGUGCAUGUUUUAUUUUUCAAUAAAAACCCAUAAUAUAUUUGUAUAUAUUGUAUAAAAACCCAUAAUAAAUUUUACAUAGCUCUUGGAAAGUAGGACCAAGCAAUUAUAAGUAUUUAGCCAAAGAGUAUACGGAUUUUAUUAAUGAUUAAUCCACAUCUCUAGUCAAAUGCGUUUUCCCUUUCUCUCUUUUGACCAAAACUCAUGUGGUUAGCUGAGAAAAUUCCCUUUUCAGAGUUCAGUCCAUUUGGAAUUUGUUGUCCUGUUCAUUGGUUGCUUCUGUGUUUAACAAUAGCAAAAUUAAUAAAUUUGGAGCUUUUUUUGAAACUUUCA